GACGAACGCUGGCGGCGUGCUUAACACAUGCAAGUCGAACGGAAAGGCCCUGCUUUUGUGGGGUGCUCGAGUGGCGAACGGGUGAGUAACACGUGAGUAACCUGCCCUUGACUUUGGGAUAACUUCAGGAAACUGGGGCUAAUACCGGAUAGGAGCUCCUGCUGCAUGGUGGGGGUUGGAAAGUUUCGGCGGUUGGGGAUGGACUCGCGGCUUAUCAGCUUGUUGGUGGGGUAGUGGAUUACCAAGGCUUUGACGGGUAGCCGGCCUGAGAGGGUGACCGGCCACAUUGGGACUGAGAUACGGCCCAGACCACUCCGGGAGGCAGAAGUGGGGAAUAUUGCACAAUGGGCGGAAGCCUGAUGCAGCAACGCCGCGUGCGGGAUGACGGCCUUCGGGUUGUAAACCGCUUUCGCCUGUGACGAAGCGUGAGUGACGGUAAUGGGUAAAGAAGCACCGGCUAACUACGUG
rnacentral:rRNA from 1 species